GGGCCCGCACAAGCGGUGGAUGAUGUGGAUUAAUUCGAUGCAACGCGAAGAACCUUACCUGCUCUUGACAUGCCAGGAACUUGCCAGAGAUGGCUUGGUGCCCGAAAGGGAACCUGGACACAGGUGCUGCAUGGCUGUCGUCAGCUCGUGUCGUGAGAUGUUGGGUUAAGUCCCGCAACGAGCGCAACCCUUGCCAUUAGUUGCUACGAAAGGGCACUCUAAUGGGACUGCCGGUGACAAACCGGAGGAAGGUGGGGAUGACGUCAAGUCCUCAUGGCCCUUAUGAGCAGGGCUUCACACGUCAUACAAUGGUCGGUACAGAGGGUCGCCAACCCGCGAGGGGGAGCCAAUCCCAGAAAACCGAUCGUAGUCCGGAUCGUAGUCUGCAACUCGACUACGUGAAGUCGGAAUCGCUAGUAAUCGCAGGUCAGCAUACUGCGGUGAAUACGUUCCCGGGCCUU
rnacentral:rRNA from 1 species